rnacentral:lncRNA from 1 species
GAGCUUUCUCAGAGAUGAGAAUGACGCACAGUGCACAAAUAAUAUGAGGAAAAUAUGAGAUAUCUCUGUCAGGAGUUCAGCCUACACUCGAGUAGGACCUUGGCAGAGACACAUGCCCGACUGGCAUGUUCCCUCCCUCCUGGUUGAUAGUUCAGGAGCUUCAAAAGGUUUCUUCUGUCCGAAUAUCACAGCAACCAAUGCCAAUCAACACCGGCACACUCAGGGAUCCGCAGAGUUUGCACAUCAUGCAUGACAGACCUCAGCAACUCAGCGUUUUGGCUAAUCUACUUUAUUUACAUAUAAAUACACACUGAGCACUGCAACACGGCUCCAUCUCUCUCUAGCAUCAGACAGCAAAGAGAAAAAAGAACAAAGGACAAUAGUCCCACUUCACAGAACACAGUAACACAAACAUCCUGUCUCCAUCACUUCCCACUCUGUGGAGUCAAAACAUACACCAUCAUGUGAUAGACAAAAAUCCCAUGAUUGCAAUCAUGGAGCAGGAAUUCUAACACUCUCAUGCUAUCCAUGGGUGGCUAAAUAUGUGGAUGUCAUUAAUAGAUGCUGUAGAGUGGUAGAAGACACAAAUUUCUGUGAAUAAUAAGAAGGGAAACUUAAACUGUUAAAUUUCUCAUACUGUUACAUUACUUCAGUCAAAUUAACUAUCUUUCAUUUACUUUAUUUCCUAAUUAAUUUACUAAAAUUAAUGUCUCAAUGUAAUUUAAAUUUUCAAGGGUAUAACUUCCACCUAAAUCACAGGCAAUUCAUUACUUCAAAAAUCAACUUUACAAUAUUUCCUAUAUCAAGGGAAUAAUACGUUAACCAAUGAAUACCUUCUCACAUUUGAUAGAUCUUAUUUAAAGCUGAUUUAAAAAGGCCUAUUUUAACCUGAGUUAUACAUGGAUCAAUUAAUUUCACUGACUGAUAUGUUUAAACGUAAGACUUUGGUUUAUAUUCAUUUUUUAACUACAGUUAUUUGAUCCUGCAAAAUCACAUAUUCUUUCUCAAUUAACAUAUUCCCCAUGCACAUGAUAUGAAUGACAUUUUAUUUAUGAGGUUCAAUAAAAUUGAGGAAUACUUUUUUUAUAUUACAGAAAGCAAAACAUUUAGGCCCACUUUAGCCCUGGUUGAGGCUAAUCUGACUUCCUUAGGGCCCGGGACCUCUAAAGUGUUGCUAUUUAUGGACCUUAAGGUCCUCCACGGGGCAUACCAGGAGAGGCGGUCCCAUAGGUACGAGGGUCCUAGUGUUUCUAGGUAUCGUUACUGUGAGCAGUAAGCUACAAUGACCAGAAUUCUUUGACAGCGAAAUGAGUUUCAAAAGUGCUUUAAAGGUAUAGUGUGCAUGCCAACUGCCCCCCCCCCGAAUGUAGCUCAGUGGAUCAAUGUUUCUGGCUGUUAACCAGAAAGUUGGUGGUUCAAGCCCACCUGGGACAGCUGUGUGCAGAAUUCCUGUACUGCAGGAAGUUGGACUACAUGACCCUUAGGGUAUCUUCCAACUAUAUAAUUCUAUGCUUCUAUGCUCCAGCUUCUGGCACUUGAAAAACCCACUGGCUCAGCCAAUUUUCUGUCCUCGGUAGAGUAUGAAAGCAAUUAGGUAUGGGGUGAGUAAUAAAAUGACAAAUUUAACAACAACAACAACAACAACUUUUAAAAAACUUAACCUUUUCCAGUUUUGGAAACCUGUUCUUAAAAAGGAAAAAGUUAAGAACACUUUGAAUGUUGAUACCAAGGAGCAAAAUCAAAAUGACAGAAGAAAUUGUAUCCACCUCAAGCUAGACUAGAUUACUUUUCUCACCUGCUCAAUACUUUCUCAGAGCUGAGCUUCCAGUUCCAUUUGCAGCCUCCUUUCCUGGCUUCUUCCUUGUGCAGUGCUUCCACUGUGCUUCCUUACUUUGUCAUUGAAAUCCUGCUCGAUAUUGAUCCAGAGCAGAACUCCAAUGUAUAGUUAGCAGAGUAAAAAAUUAAACACAUUGCAGGAUUCCCACAAAAUAGACGAGAGGCAAUUGUAUUUCAUCCAGCAGGGCUUUACUGCUACUGAAGGCAAAUGAGCGUAAUGGUCACAAAUCUAAUACAUUCAGGAUUGGCACUGUCCUUAAGAAAUCCAGUUGCAGCAGACUUAACUUAAACUUACGAUAACUUAUAAUAAGUCUAAAACUUUAACAAUAGGCAUACUAUAUACAGAACACCACACAAGAAGGAAAGAGAGACAGAAAGGGAAAGUGAAACCCAGGCUCCUUCUUGCCUAUUAUUAUAGUCAGCAUGACCUUGACAGAAAAGAUAAGAGAACCAGUUUAAACCAGCUGUACUCAGCUUCUCUGAAGGAGCAACCCAAACAUCAUGAACCUUAUGCUUGUUUCUUUCACACAGAGAAGCUUCUCUUGAAUUAAGUAGAAUGGGAAAGAUACCAUACAUUGGAUCAAUACUUUAUGUACUAAGAAAUGCAAACUGACAUACUUCCACAAUGUUUCAAUUUGUUUCCCCACCACCAUCGUUUCAGCAUUCACACAAAUACUCCCUUUUUCUCUAUCUUCCACUAUGAUCAUACUAUGUUUCAACUGUCUCCUUAUACACAUUAUUUCUACUCUCCCCCUGAACCUCAUAGUCAGUUAGAAGGGGAGUACACUUGUGGAUAAGUUUCCAUCCUUUCAACCUGCUCAAUUUCUCUCCCUUAAAUCUUGAGGAUGCAUGUUUCCUUAACUACCAAGUUGCUGGGCUGCAUAUUUUUUUCCUCUGUUAACUUAGAACAGACACAUUUUUUUUAAC